CAAAUAAAUUCAAUGGCAAGAAUAUGACAGAUUUUAAUUAGAGACAAUUUGGUAAUUAAGCAUUAUAUUUGCAUCCAGUUUAAAUGCAAUAGCAAAAGAGGCAAUUUAUAGCAGUGAUUAUUUAUUAUUAUUUAUCUUUAUAGAGAAGUAAAAGAUCCGAGAUAUUUAACAGAGAAAAUAUCUACCAAAGCUGCGAAAGAAAUGUACGAACAUACAUUGAAGAUCGAAAGUGAAUAUAAACACAUUAUAAAUGCUGUGAUUCCCGGUUCGAAUUUGGCUUACAUGUGCACACAAAUUAAAACGUGCGUCGAAGACGAGCAGAGUAAGACUUUGUGGGUGCCUUGUGGAAGUCUCUAACUACUCCCUAUUAAUUUAAAACCUUUCCCCAGUGAUUUUAAUAAUUAAGGACGAGACCAUUUUCUUUUAGAAAAUAGAAAGAUUAGAAUAUUCCAUUCAUUUGACGAAAGAAAAUCAAUGGAAUUUGGAACGGAUCCUCUUUUGGGCUGUAAAAAAUCAUUAACAGUAUUCGAAUGCUAUUCUUAUUUUGAUAAGUGAAUGUUAAACAUAAAAAAAAAAGACAGACAAUAAAAACUUUCCGUGUCACGUGAUUCAACGUUUGCAUAAAUGCUAUUUGAAGAUACGACGAGUAUAAACGAAUAGUUUUUAUAAUCCCUCGAAUUUGUGUGAUCUUCCCUUUUUUUAUUGGUGCAAUGAAGUUCCUUGUAAAUUAAAUGUCAAAUUUAUAGUCAGACUAUUUUACAACAGAUCUAUGUCCUGCCACACGACUCAAAUUGGUUGUAAAUAUUAUUAUUAAAUAAAGUUUUAAUGAAGUUUUAAA